AUUGCUUCUCAGCCUUUUGGCUAAGAUCAAGUGUAGUAUCUGUUCUUAUCAGCUUAAUGUUUGAUAUUUACUCUCACUGGGCUAUUUUUAGAGGCAGAGUCUCACUCUCA
rnacentral:snRNA from 1 species